rnacentral:rRNA from 1 species
UACGUAGGCAGCAAGCGUUGUUCGGAGUUACUGGGCGUAAAGGGUGCGUAGGCGGCUUUUUAAGUCUGGUGUGAAAUCUCCCGGCUCAACUGGGAGGGUGCGCCGGAUACUGAGGGGCUAGAGUGUGGGAGAGGAAAGUGGAAUUCCUGGUGUAGCGGUGAAAUGCGCAGAUAUCAGGAAGAACACCCGUGGCUAAGGCGGCUCUCUAGUACGGUACUGACGCUGAGACGCGAAAGCGUGGGGAGCGAACAGG